ACAAUUUACGUGUUAAAUACAACAAAAACUUUAUCUAUAUAGAUUUUUGAAAAAUCCAGAUAAUUAUCCAGAUUUUACUUUCUCUCGAUAGAAAACAGUACUGCCAAGGUACAUUACACUUAUUAAAUGUCAAAUUCUAUUAAACGACAGCUGCAGUUGACAGAUAUAUGACAAAAAAAAUAUAAUAUUUAAAAUUGAAUUAAAUUAGGAAUAACAAACAACGCAAAUCAAUGUUAAGUACAAGAUUCACGUAUUUGCAAGAGUGCGAUAUCUUCCACAAAACCAAAGAAAAAAAACCUGAAAAGCAGAUGGAAAGUAAAUCAAUUUAUUAAUACAAUGAGAUAGCAUAUUUAUCUUUUUACUAGGAAUUAUUUCACAAAAGAAGAAUUCUGUGUACUGUGCGCUUGUGUCUUAAUCGUGUCGAUACCUUCAAACCUCACAGCCAAAUGUAAUGUAAAAUGCACUUGGAAUGCCCACUCGUUUGCGAAAACGUCUAUUCUUUGACGAUAAACAUGGUUAAAUGACAACAAAGCUCUUGUUAAUCAAUCGCCUCAUUAUGCCCACCACAAAAAGUCUCAUAACUUUUUAAAAAGAUACACGUCAUGUCUGUGCGCUGCAAAAAAAGCAAGUACAAUCAUACCUCCUGAAAAAUAUUCCUUCAGGAAAUACUUUUCAUCCCAAACAGCAGACAGCAACAAGCAAGACAAUCCCAACCUUGCAUUGCAGCUCAUUCAAUACCCAAAUCCUUCGGCUCCCUAAAAUCAGAGCAUCAUUUAGGUCCCCAAUUGGUUACAGAUAUAAUCUGCCUGCAUUGAUGUCGUCCUGUUUCUUUAGGAAAUGUCUUCUACAAAUGGCUGUAAAGCCGAGAUCCCGAGAAAAUGAUAUCUGCAUGAAUUUUCUUCGCAAUUACUUUCCCCUCCUUAACAGCUAUGCAGGGGAAGGAAUUAAGGCAGUACACAUGGAUUCCCAAGCCAACUCAACCAACCCCCGAGGACAACGUAUACAGCAGACUUUUUAAAUUAAGUUUAUCCAUGUAUUAUAUUUGUUUAUAUUUUAUAACUUUGUUCAUUAUUUAACGUUAGGCCCCCUUUGUGCCAACAAAAUUUUGUAACUAUAAAUGUAUCUUAGAAAUAAGUUAUUUUAAGUCAAUUGUAAAUAGCAAGUUCAAUAAACCAAAAUUGAAUUGCAAUACACAUGGAUAAACAAAAAAACAUAUUUGCAAGCUAUCAUUCUUGAUCCAGCUGUGGGAGUC